CAUGCUGGAGAUGAGGCACUAGGGCCCACUCUUGAAAGAACUAACUCCUUAAGAUCAGCCUUAAUCUCACUGAAGAAAGCUAUGGCUUAAAUCUAAAAUGUAACCAACUGCCACAUGCUUUAAACACAUGGUUCUCACAUGGUUAUGCUAUUUUAAGAGCUUCCGGAACCUCUGAGAUAGGGCCUAGCUAGUGGAAUGCAGGGGCCUGGCUCCUAUCUUGCUUUCUGCUUCCUGGUCCAGCAUGCUGUGAGCGGCCUUCAUCCACCGAAAGUGGAGCUGACCUGUCAUGAUGAACUGAAACCCUCUGAAGGAGCUGGAGGGGCCAUCAUCUAACAACCCCCAUACAAGAUGCAUAUUCCCUGAGGAUACUGUGAGCUAAGGCCGUGUAAAGCUGGCCCUUCCGCUGAGGGAGAAGUCAUCCGAGUCACGUGGCCCUGGCGGUCCCUCCUCGGAACAUGACGGUGACUUCUCUCCCCCGUUCCUGUUAUAGGAACCUUGUCACCCAUGAGGAAGGGUAUAAUACAUUUCCACAGUCAGGCAAGUACUCUCGCUCAUAGGCUGCUUCUGUUUAGAGGUCACGGUGAUGCUGAAGGAAGGGUAGUGGCCCUAAUGACUAAGUCAUUCCAUGUGGGUUCUGCCUCUUAAGAUUUCUGUUAACUCAUCUUUACCACACUGGGGACCAAGCCUGCAAUAUAUAAACCCUUGAGAACACAAGCCUACUGGAACUUUAGCAACUAAUCCACUAUUCUAAUUUAAUCCACUGUCUUCCUUCACUACCAGCACAAGGGUUUGUCUGGGCCCACCUGCUUUUUAACAGUUUUCUCCAAGAUUGAAACAUUUUGAUUGGAAGCUCCUUAAGGUAAACAACUCAAAAUAGUUUCAGGAAGUCCUUGAAACUGAACAGAUUCAGUAGGCCCCUCCCUGCCAGAGUAGGCAAUAAAAACUGAGUCCCUCUCAGAGAAGUAAAUCUGAGCUGCAAAAAGACUCCUAGACAAGCCCAACUGCAAAGCAGACUCUUGAGACCAAACCAGCUGCCCAGAAGAAACAAAAAUCAGCCAAGCUGCUUGGAAGAGGUAUAGAUCAACUGAGUCACUUGGAAAGAACACAUUCUGACUUGUUGGGCUGCCUGUAGGCUGUGCAGUGUGCUCUAGUAGGUUCUCAGCUUUUGUGAGCUGUCACCCAUGCUGGGGUGAUACAGCUGUCUUGAGUCAUUUCUGCUCUUGUAAGUAACUCCUGACCUACAUUCCUGUAAGUAGCCUCAAUAAAACUCAUCAGUUCAUCAA